rnacentral:rRNA from 1 species
UACGAAGGGGGCUAGCGUUGUUCGGAUUUACUGGGCGUAAAGCGCACGUAGGUGGAUCGUUAAGUCGGGGGUGAAAUCCUGGAGCUCAACUCCAGAACUGCCUUCGAUACUGGCGAUCUUGAGUCCGGAAGAGGUGAGUGGAACUCCUAGUGUAGAGGUGGAAUUCGUAGAUAUUAGGAAGAACACCAGUGGCGAAGGCGGCUCACUAGUCCGGUACUGACGCUGAGGUGCGAAAGCGUGGGGAGCAAACAGG